UGGGGAAUAUUGCACAAUGGGCGCAAGCCUGAUGCAGCCAUGCCGCGUGUAUGAAGAAGGCCUUCGGGUUGUAAAGUACUUUCAGCGAGGAGGAAGGCGUUGUGGUUAAUAACCGCAACGAUUGACGUUACUCGCAGAAGAAGCACCGGCUAACUCCGUGCCAGCAGCCGCGGUAAUACGGAGGGUGCAAGCGUUAAUCGGAAUUACUGGGCGUAAAGCGCACGCAGGCGGUCUGUCAAGUCGGAUGUGAAAUCCCCGGGCUCAACCUGGGAACUACAUCCGAAACUGGCAGGCUAGAGUCUUGUAGAGGGGGGUAGAAUUCCAGGUGUAGCGGUGAAAUGCGUAGAGAUCUGGAAGAAUACCGGUGGCGAAGGCGGCCCCCUGGACAAAGACUGACGCUCAGGUGCGAAAGCGUGGGGAGCAAACA
rnacentral:rRNA from 1 species